AUCCAGCUGACGAGUCCAAAAUAGGACGAGACUUGCGUCCUGAAU
rnacentral:hammerhead_ribozyme from 1 species